GUGGAUAUAGUUUAAAGGUAGAAUGUUGGUUUGUGGCACCAAAAGUGUGGGUUCAAUUCCCGCUGUCCACC